GCGGAUAUAACUUAAUGGGUUGAAAGUGUCAGAUUGUGAAUUUGAAAAAACGGGUUCGAAUUCCGUUAUUCGCC
rnacentral:tRNA from 3 species